CAUGCAAGUCGAGGGGCAGCAUUUUAGUUUGCUUGCAAACUGAAGAUGGCGACCGGCGCACGGGUGAGUAACACGUAUCCAACCUGCCGAUAACUCCGGAAUAGCCUUUCGAAAGAAAGAUUAAUACCGGAUAGCAUACGAAUAUCGCAUGAUAUUUUUAUUAAAGAAUUUCGGUUAUCGAUGGGGAUGCGUUCCAUUAGUUUGUUGGCGGGGUAACGGCCCACCAAGACUACGAUGGAUAGGGGUUCUGAGAGGAAGGUCCCCCACAUUGGAACUGAGACACGGUCCAAACUCCUACGGGAGGCAGCAGUGAGGAAUAUUGGUCAAUGGGCGAGAGCCUGAACCAGCCAAGUAGCGUGAAGGAUGAAGGCUCUAUGGGUCGUAAACUUCUUUUAUAUGGGAAUAAAGUUUUCCACGUGUGGAAUUUUGUAUGUACCAUAUGAAUAAGGAUCGGCUAACUCCGUGCCAGCAGCCGCGGUAAUACGGAGGAUCCGAGCGUUAUCCGGAUUUAUUGGGUUUAAAGGGAGCGUAGGUGGAUUGUUAAGUCAGUUGUGAAAGUUUGCGGCUCAACCGUAAAAUUGCAGUUGAAACUGGCAGUCUUGAGUACAGUAGAGGUGGGCGGAAUUCGUGGUGUAGCGGUGAAAUGCUUAGAUAUCACGAAGAACUCCGAUUGCGAA
rnacentral:rRNA from 1 species